GCGUAUCCGCCAUUUGCGUAAGUCGAUUUCAUUGUUUCUGUGUGUGUGAGCUUAGAGCAAAGGGAAACGUUGGCGAUGGUAAUAUUCGUGUGCAUUUGGAAAAACAUGGAACGAGUCGAUUAGCGUAAUACCACGCACGCUGUAACGCACAUAUAUCCGAAUAUAUACUCUUCCGAAAGUAACGAUGAUAUUUGGCAAAAAUCUUUUCAUGUAAAACGAAGAAAAGUAUUAGACCAUUGUACAUUGAAAAAUGCUGAUUAAAUAAUAUCAAAAAAAAACUGAUUAGUCUACCAAAGUAGCAAGUAUUUGAUAAAUACUAUGGGGGCAUUUUUGGAUACUCCUAAAACAGAUAAAUAUAAUGAACAUGGAGCUGGCAAUGGAUUGCGAUAUGGUGUUGCCAGCAUGCAGGGUUGGAGAUUGGAAAUGGAGGACGCUCACAGAGCUAUAACUGGCUUAGAAGGUGGCCUUUCAGAUUGGAGUUAUUUUGCGGUGUUUGAUGGUCAUGCAGGCGCAUUGGUAUCAGAACAUAGUGCAGAGCAUUUGUUAGAGUGCAUAAUGAAGACUGAAGAAUUCAAAGCCGAAGAUGUCAUUAAGGGAAUACAUUCUGGAUUUCUUCAGCUUGACGAUGAAAUGAGAUACUUACCAGAAAUGAGCUCUGGAAUAGAUAAAUCUGGUUCUACAGCAGUCUGUGCAUUUAUAUGUCCCAGAAAUAUAUAUAUUGCUAAUUGCGGCGAUUCUAGAGCUGUACUCUGUAGUUCUGGAAGCCCGGUAUUCUCAACACGAGAUCAUAAACCUUUUUUAACGGCAGAGAAAGAAAGAAUACAAAAUGCAGGUGGAAGUGUAAUGGUACAAAGAGUAAAUGGUUCAUUAGCAGUUUCAAGAGCACUAGGAGAUUAUGAGUACAAAAAUUUGAAAGAUAGGGGUCCCUGCGAACAGUUAGUGUCACCAGAACCAGAAAUAUUUGUAAGAGACAGAGAUGAUGAACACGAUGAAUUUCUAGUUUUAGCAUGUGAUGGUAUUUGGGAUGUAAUGAACAACGAAGACUUAUGUAAUUUUAUACGAUCAAGGCUAUUGCUUACGGAUGACUUAGAAGCAGUCACGAACCAAGUCAUAGACACAUGUCUUUACAAGGGUAGCAGAGACAAUAUGAGUAUAGUCUUGGUUACGUUCCCUGCUGCACCAAAACCAAAUUCUGAAGCACAGGAGAAGGAGGCUGAGCUGGAAAUGGCCAUUGAAAGGAGAAUUAAAGAAAUAGUAGCAGAACAAAAACAAGAGGAUAAGAUUGACUAUUUGAAACUAUUACAACUUCUUGUGGACCAAGAGUUUCCCAAUCUGCCUCCAGGUGGUGGUCUUUCAGCUAAGCAACUUUUGAUCGAACAAGUGUUUCGAGAAUUAUGUCCUAAGAAAGCGGAUAGUGUAAGUCUUCUAUAUGAUUGAUUCCCUUUAUAUAUAUCGCUGAUUUUUUUAUACUGCAUCAAAUGUACAAUUAUAAUUAAUGGACUUAUCCCGUUUUCAUUCAUAUAAUGAUGCAGAUUUUAAACCAGAAAAACAUUUAUUUUAGUGAUAGCUCAUGAUAUUAAUAACACUGAUUUUAUUGUUGCAUGUGUAGUGCCCUGAGGGAAAGCAAUUGAUAUCAUACUUGUGAUAUGCAGCAUUUUGCACAUAAUUAUUCUGCUGGAGUGGAUUAUAUCUCAAUUGUAAUAUUACUAGCUAUUUAGUUUGACAUUUGACAUUUACUUUUAUAAUUUAAUAUUUCAAAGCCAUUAUUUACCAAUGAUAUUCUAAAUAGAAUUAAUCGUAUAACUGUGAACAAUUGGACAAAUGUGUUUGUCAAUUUUUAAGCUUUUAUAUGAUGUUUAAUGAUUACAACAUAGUUCUCUUUUAAAAAAAAUUACUUUACAAAUAACAACAUUGGUAGUGAUUGGUAGUUGAUACAACAUUCUGGAAAAAACAAAAACAUUCGUGAGAUAAGUUUUGUGAAAUUAAUACAAAUUAGAAAGGAACAGAAACCAUUUUAUUUUUGGCUUGCACUAAAAAAAAAUAUUCUUUAAAUAUAUAUAAAUUUUAAUUUAUUAAUGUCUUAUUAUUUGAACUAUAUCCUAUUUAUAUGUAAAAUAUUAUGAAAUUGUUGACUCUGUGGGUGUGUGUAUAUAUAUAGAAGUAUGAUUUACGAUAGUACAAACAUUUAAAAGUAGUUUUAAAUAAAACAGGUCUUUGAUCCUAACUUGAAUGUGAAUUAUAAUUGUUUUUCUUUU